GACGUAGGGCGCGAGCGUUGUCCGGAUUUAUUGGGCGUAAAGAGCUCGUAGGCGGCUUGUCGCGUCGACUGUGAAAACCCGCGGCUCAACUGCGGGCUUGCAGUCGAGUACGGGCAGGCUAGAGUUCGGUAGGGGAGACUGGAAUUCCUGGUGUAGCGGUGAAAUGCGCAGAUAUCAGGAGGAACACCGGUGGCGAAGGCGGGUCCUCUGGGCCGAUACUGACGCUGAGGAGCGAAAGCGUGGGGGAGCGAACAGG
rnacentral:rRNA from 1 species